rnacentral:rRNA from 1 species
GUUCGACCAUGGCUCAGGAUGAACGCUAGCUACAGGCUUAACACAUGCAAGUUGCGGGGCAGCAUGUCGGUUGCUUGCAACCGAUGAUGGCGACCGGCGCACGGGUGAGUAACGCGUAUCCAACCUGCCCUUCACCACGGAAUAAUCCAGUGAAAAUUGGUCUAAUACCGUAUGAGGUCAUACGAUGGCAUCAGAAUAUGACGAAAGGUUUAGCGGUGAAGGAUGGGGAUGCGUCUGAUUAGCUUGUUGGUGAGGUAACGGCUCACCAAGGCGACGAUCAGUAGGGGUUCUGAGAGGAAGGUCCCCCACAUUGGAACUGAGACACGGUCCAAACUCCUACGGGAGGCAGCAGUGAGGAAUAUUGGUCAAUGGGCGAGAGCCUGAACCAGCCAAGUAGCGUGCAGGACGACGGCCCUAUGGGUUGUAAACUGCUUUUAUAUGGGGAUAAAGUGAGUUACGUGUAGCUUAUUGCAGGUACCAUAUGAAUAAGGACCGGCUAAUUCCGUGCCAGCAGCCGCGGUAAUACGGAAGGUCCAGGCGUUAUCCGGAUUUAUUGGGUUUAAAGGGAGCGUAUGCCGCCCCUUAAGCGUGUUGUGAAAUGCCGCGGCUCAACUGUGGCACUGCAGCGCGAACUGGGGGGCUUGAGUGCACGCAACGCAGGCGGAAUUCGUGGUGUAGCGGUGAAAUGCUUAGAUAUCACGAAGAACUCCGAUUGCGAAGGCAGCUUGCGGGAGUGCGACUGACGCUGAAGCUCGAAGGUGCGGGUAUCGAACAGGAUUAGAUACCCUGGUAGUCCGCACAGUAAACGAUGGAUGCCCGCUGUGUGUCUUAAAGGUACGCGGCCAAGCGAAAGCGUUAAGCAUCCCACCUGGGGAGUACGCCGGCAACGGUGAAACUCAAAGGAAUUGACGGGGGCCCGCACAAGCGGAGGAACAUGUGGUUUAAUUCGAUGAUACGCGAGGGACCUUACCCGGGCUUGAAUUGCAGAAGACGGAUCCAGAGAUGGUGACUCCCUUCGGGGCUUCUGUGAAGGUGCUGCAUGGUUGUCGUCAGCUCGUGCCGUGAGGUGUCGGCUUAAGUGCCAUAACGAGCGCAACCCCUGUCCUUAGUUGCCAUCAGGUAGAGCUGGGCACUCUGAGGAUACUGCCACCGCAAGGUGUGAGGAAGGUGGGGAUGACGUCAAAUCAGCACGGCCCUUACGUCCGGGGCUACACACGUGUUACAAUGGGUGGUACAGAGAGUAGAGUGCCCGCAAGGUCAUUCCAAUCAAGAAAGCCAUCCCCAGUUCGGAUUGGGGUCUGCAACCCGACCCCAUGAAGCUGGAUUCGCUAGUAAUCGCGCAUCAGCCAUGGCGCGGUGAAUACGUUCCCGGGCCUUGUACACACCGCCCGUCAAGCCAUGAAAGCCGGGGGUGCCUGAAGUCCGUGACCGAGAGGGGCGGCCUAGGGCAAAACUGGUAAUUGGGGCUAAGUCGUAACAAGGUA